rnacentral:rRNA from 1 species
AGAACGAACGCUGGCGGCAUGCCUAACACAUGCAAGUCGAACGAGACCUUCGGGUCUAGUGGCGCACGGGUGCGUAACGCGUGGGAACCUGCCCUUAGGUUCGGAAUAACUCAGAGAAAUUUGAGCUAAUACCGGAUAAUGUCUUCGGACCAAAGAUUUAUCGCCUAUGGAUGGGCCCGCGUAGGAUUAGCUAGUUGGUGGGGUAAAGGCCUACCAAGGCGACGAUCCUUAGCUGGUCUGAGAGGAUGAUCAGCCACACUGGGACUGAGACACGGCCCAGACUCCUACGGGAGGCGGCAGUGGGGAAUAUUGGACAAUGGGCGAAAGCCUGAUCCAGCAAUGCCGCGUGAGUGAUGAAGGCCUUAGGGUGUAAAGCUCUUUACCGGAUGAUAAUGACAGUACCGGAGAAUAAGCUCCGGCUAACGUCCGCGCCAGCAGCCGC